rnacentral:lncRNA from 1 species
GUGCUCCUGGUGGUCUUUAACUGAAGGGCACUGACUGGGUACUGGUGAAGUUCCCCGCAGGAACUGAGUCAGACCCCAUCUCAGGGCCCUGCAGAAGAUAGGUGCCUGCUCUAAGGCGUGGACCCUCGCGACAGCCCUGGCCCGUCUUGACGGGCGAGGGUUACUGUACUUGUCCCAAUCGUACAGAUGAGAAAGCUCAGACUCAGGGCCAGCAACCCCGGUCCCAGCGGAGCGCCCGGCACGCGCCGACACUUCAGCACCAGUCGCGGUGGCCACCACUGUGCGCGGAGAUGGCUGCGACGCGUGCGCAGUCUAGUGCUUUUUUCCAGAUCUCGAUCCCAAACUCCCUCCUGCCAGAAUCUGGACCCGAAUCCACCCAUUGCCCAUUUUCCGCUGCCGCUGGAGAGAAUCUCUGAGGUCCCCAGGACAGCCUGCCUGCACGGAAGAGAUGCCUCCUCAGUAUGGCCGCCCCCGGAGAGGAGCGAUUAAGUGCAGACCCCCAUGUUGCUCUUGAGCCUGAGCGGCUUCAGGGAGCCAUGUUUGUUACUGGCGGGCGCCGGCCUCACUGAGCAUGUGCAGCCCUGGCCGGGCGGCCUCAAAGUUCUGACAUCACAGGGCGGUUCCUGAAGUGGACGUAGUUAUUAAAUGCUGUUUUCCAUGACCGUCUCUGUUCUUCCCAUACGCGAAUGGCAGGCAUCCAGAUCUCCAAGAAUAGAGGAUUAGGAGAGACUCCACCACCUAUGUCCUCACAGUUAAUUAUCGAUUUGUGUCACUUGCCCAUUUUCUCACUUCCUGUUUGUGUGUCAAGGAGUAUUAAUAAAUCUUUGCCUAUUUAAAGAUA